UACGGAGGGUGCAAGCGUUGUCCGGAAUCAUUGGGUGUAAAGGGUGCGUAGGCGGUCUCUCAAGUCUGAUGUGAAAUCCCUGGGCUCAACUCAGGAACUGCAUUGGAAACUGAAAGGCUGGAGUACCGGAGAGGGAAGCGGAAUUCCUGGUGUAGCGGUGAAAUGCGUAGAUACCAGGAGGAACACCGGUGGCGAAGGCGGCUUCCUGGCCGAGUACUGACGCUGAGGCACGAAAGCGUGGGGAGCGAACGGG
rnacentral:rRNA from 1 species